rnacentral:lncRNA from 1 species
GGGAGGCCAUGGAAGGCAGGUAGUAAAUACACUACUUCUUGGCCCAAGGUCGUAUGCAGGUGACCUUCAAGAGGAAAGAGGGAGGUUCACGAGUGCCCUGAAUUCCAUCCACAGAGCUAUUGGAUGUUUGGAGCCCAGGUGAAGAUCCCAGAGCUGGGGAACGAAAGGUUGGAAAAGCCCAGCCAGCUGUGCAAGCCUCCAGAGACACUCUCUUGACUGCGAGGAAAGUGAUAGCCUGCUGGGCUGGACCUGGACUUUGAGACAGAACUUUCGAAUCCGAAGAAGAGAUGAUUUUCAGAUAGUCCUCCUUCCAGGUCAGGUUUAAGAAAAAUAGUGAAGGGAAAUAUUAAUAAACAUGAUCA